GACGAACGCUGGCGGCGUGCUUAACACAUGCAAGUCGAGCGGUAAGGCCCUUCGGGGUACGACGAGCGGCGAACGGGUGAGUAACACGUGGGUGACCUGCCUCUAGCUCUGGGAUAAGCCUGGGAAACUGGGUCUAAUACCGGAUAUGACUCCACGGCGCAUGUUGUGGGGUGGAAAGCCUUGUGUGGCUAGAGAUGGGCCCGCGGCCUAUCAGCUUGUUGGUGGGGUGAUGGCCUACCAAGGCGACGACGGGUAGCCGGCCUGAGAGGGCGACCGGCCACACUGGGACUGAGACACGGCCCAGACUCCUACGGGAGGCAGCAGUGGGGAAUCUUGCGCAAUGGGCGAAAGCCUGACGCAGCGACGCCGCGUGAGGGAUGACGGCCUCGGUGUAAC
rnacentral:rRNA from 1 species